rnacentral:misc_RNA from 1 species
CUGGGAAGUGGCGCCGAG